rnacentral:misc_RNA from 1 species
ACCCAGGCAACCAAACGACGUUUUUAUAACGUAGAUAACACGUCAUAAAAAUGACCAAUUGACGUGUUUCUAUGACGUAGUACUGACGUUGAAAAUCACGUGUAUUUGUCUCAUCGAUUUGACGUCAUAAUUGUGACUAUUUUAAAACAUCGUAUCUACGUUUUUUUCACGUCGGUAAAAUCACGUCUUUAAUACUUUCAAAAAGUGACCUCUUUCAGAUGUUUCAAAAUAAUAUAAAAAAUAGGUACAUAACAUGAAACCUAUAGGCCUACGUCCCAUAUGUGUCGAAGAUAUAAGUACUACCACUUGUUUAAGAUCGCUUGUGCGCUAGGCUAGAAGCAUCAUUAAUUCUGCAUGAUUGUACCAGCCCUCACAUUUUAGAAUUUUCACUAGUUAUAUAUACCUACUUACUGUGUCAAAACUGAAACAACAUAUAUAUGAAACUAAUAAAUAAUUUAUUAAUAAGUUAUCCAGCAUACUAAUAUCUUAAUUUAACGCUGUCUUAAUAUCUUCAUUUAACGCUUAAUUAAAAACAAAUAAACAUAACCUCAAAUAGUUGUCAAGAAGAAUUACUGCAUUAAACUAACUCACUGAGAAAAAAGAAACAUGGCGCCUCAGAAGAACGGUCGUGUUUACGACUCGGAAGUUAAGUGUUGUAAAAAGUGUUAUAAAGUUGCACAAAGUGGUCUAUUAUGUGCGAAUUGUGGAACGUUAUCCCAUAGUGGCUGCCUGAAGCAACUAAAAUCGAUCAAAUAUAUCGAUGAUGAGACAGUUAUAUGCUGUGAGGAGAGUGUGAGGUUAAGUGAUCCACCAAACAAAACCUUGGAUAGUGAGGCUGACGAUGAGGAUCCGAGACAAACUGAAAUAAGGUACUUAAAGAAAAUUAUUAAUCAGAAUGAAACAAUAAUAUCAAAUCAACAAAUUACGAUAAAUUUAUUGAAGGAACAACUAGAUUUAUUUAAAUAUAUGCAAAUAGCUGAUCAGUCGCCAUCUACAAAACAAAAUACGAAUUCAAUCAACCAUUCAAACAGAGACCCAAAUUUUGAACGACCGAAACAGUCUAGCAGUAAAAUAUAUCCAAAAAACGAAAACACUACACCCGCAAAAAAUGUUGCUGUAAAUGAAAGUCUAGUUGUUGAUAAAGAAAGGAGUUCCCCAACAAAAACUCUAUUUAAAAAUAGUACCAAUAAAAAUAAACAAGUUGUUUCCUUAAUCGAAAAUAAUAAACAAUUAUCAGCUGAUAUUUUAAGAAUACAAACGGAGGCAAAAUGUUCAGAUAUCAUUAAUUUAACAAACGAUGAGAAUUUGAUAAAUACUGAGAGUAAAAAUUCGGUUCCAGUUCCAAAUAAUAAUGGGCAAGAAUGGAAAACUGUUAGGUAUAAAAGAAGGAAUGGACCUAUUGUUAUUGGCAAUAAUGAAAACUCUGAAAUCAGUGGUGUCCCAAAAUUUAGUCAUCUUCAUGUUACUAGGGUAAACCAGCAUACAACGGCAGAUAAUCUUAAGAAGAUGUUAGAAAAACACUUUCCAGAAGUGAUAUGUACGUCCUUAACGGCUAAGCAUCCCAACAUAUAUUCAUCCUUUAAAGUCUCAAUUUUUGAACAACAUUUUGGUUUAGCGAUGGACCCAAAACUAUGGCCCGUAGGCUCUUAUGUAAGCAGGUUUUUUGUGAAGCGUCCAACACAUACUCAAAUAAAAUGAAGGAUGAAGAAACGACCGUAAACCCUCCAUCAAAUUUUCAAAAUAACCUAAUUCAACAAGGCACGAUUAAAGUCAUAUUUAAUAUGAAGGGACCACUUACGAUAAAUGAUUUUGAAGAAGAACUAAAUGCACUAGAAGUAGAUGAAACAUUACUUAUUUUACAAGAUCUGAGCAUUCUAGAAUUGUGCC